rnacentral:rRNA from 1 species
AGACCGAUAGCGAACAAGUACAGUGAUGGAAAGAUGAAAAGAACUUUGAAAAGAGAGUGAAAAAGUACGUGAAAUUGUUGAAAGGGAAGGGCUUGAGAUCAGACUUGGUAUUUUGUGUUCCUUAUUCUUUUUGGAUUUGGUUCCUCACAGCUUACCGGGCCAGCAUCGGUUUGGAUGGUAGGAUAAUGACAUUGGAAUGUAGCUUUGCUUCGGUGAAGUGUUAUAGACUUUGUUGAUACUGCCUAUCUAGACCGAGGACUGCGUCUUUGACUAGGAUGCUGGCGUAAUGAUCUUAAGCCGCCCGUCUUGAAACACGGACCAAG